GGCGGCCGUUGGUUACCUUCAGUGUUGGUCAUUCUGUCACCGCGCGCGGCUGGAGUGCUAUUCUGUGGGACAUCAGCUGGUUCGGACGUUCUGCUAGAAUCCGUAGACGUUCGGUUCGGUUCGUUCGUUCAGCGCAUUCUGCGGGGGAAGAUAAGUGUUCUAGCGUUGCAAGUCGCGGUCGCGGGGUUCUAUCGCCCUUUAUCAAAUGUCGCUCGAGGAAGAACAUCGCUCAGUCUACGGUUGGACGUGAUCGCGAACGGCGGUGCCUUCUCUUCUUCAAGAACAAGGUUUUUUUCCGAAGUUCUCUGGAAAAACGGUGUGGAAAAUUUCUUCUUCGCGGUUCUGGAGUUGGCAACGAGCAAAAGAAGGAAGUGAACCAAAGUGAAUUGUUAAUGAGGUGUAAAUCGCGGUGGUCAGUUCGGUUGAUUGGUAUGUGUUAGGGUACCAUUUCUGCUGAUGCUCGUCAUCGGCAGGCACUCAGUCACCUCACCAUUCCGCGAGUUAUAUUUAUUGUGUGCCAAGUGAUUUGAUUGUUGCGAACGCGUGAAAAACGGAAGCCCUGAGUACCUAUUUAGGUGUCUAGCUGUUACUCGCUGCAUAGAACGCGAGUGUCCGAAAACGAAAACUGCGAAAACGCCAAAUUGAUAACAGUGCGAGAAGUGGACGGCGGC